rnacentral:rRNA from 1 species
AUUGAACGCUGGCGGCAGGCCUAACACAUGCAAGUCGAACGAGUGGCGGACGGGAGUGUCAUGUCUGGGAACCUGCCUGAUGGCUGGGGUUACCUACUGGAACCGGUAGCAAAUACCGCAAAGCUUCGGAUGUGCCCCGGUGGGAUUAGCUUGUUGGUGGGGUAACGGCUCACCAAGGCAACGAUCCCUAGCUGGUCUGAGAGGAUGACCAGCCACACUGGAACUGAGACACGGUCCAGACUCCUACGGGAGGCAGCAGUGGGGAAUAUUGCACAAUGGGCGCAAGCCUGAUGCAGCCAUGCCGCGUGAGUGAAGAAGGCCUUCGGGUUGUAAAGUACUUUCAGCGGGGAGGCGUUACCCGCAGAAGAAGCACCGGCUAACUCCGUGCCAGCAGCCGCGGUAAUUC